AUUGAACGCUGGCGGCAUGCUUUACACAUGCAAGUCGAACGGUAACAGGUUAAGCUGACGAGUGGCGAACGGGUGAGUAAUGCAUCGGAACGUGCCCGAUCGUGGGGGAUAACGCAGCGAAAGCUGCGCUAAUACCGCAUACGAUCUGAGGAUGAAAGCGGGGGACCGUAAGGCCCCGCGCGAUCGGAGCGGCCGAUGUCAGAUUAGGUAGUUGGUGGGGUAAAGGCUCACCAAGCCAACGAUCUGUAGCUGGUCUGAGAGGACGACCAGCCACACUGGGACUGAGACACGGCCCAGACUCCGACGGGAGGCAGCAGUGGGGAAUUUUGGACAAUGGGCGAAAGCCUGAUCCAGCAAUGCCGCGUGCAGGAAGAAGGCCUUCGGGUUGUAAACUGCUUUUGUACGGAGCGAAAAGGCCCUCUCUAAUACAGUGGGCUCAUGACGGUACCGUAAGAAUAAGCACCGGCUAACUACGUGCCAGCAGCCGCCGUAA
rnacentral:rRNA from 1 species